AACAGGAUUAGAUACCCUGGUAGUCCACGCCGUAAACGAUGAGUGCUAGGUGUUGGGGGGCUACGCCCCUCAGUGCCGAAGGUAACCCAUUAAGCACUCCGCCUGGGGAGUACGGCCGCAAGGCUGAAACUCAAAGGAGUUGACGGGGGCCCGCACAAGCGGUGGAGCAUGUGGUUUAAUUCGAAGCAACGCGAAGAACCUUACCAGGGCUUGACAUCCCGCUGACCCCUCCAGAGAUGGAGGUUUCCUUCGGGACAGCGGUGACAGGUGGUGCAUGGUUGUCGUCAGCUCGUGUCGUGAGAUGUUGGGUUCAGUCCCGCAACGAGCGCAACCCUUGUCGUUAGUCGCCAGCAUUUCGGAUGGGCACUCUAACGAGACAGCCGGUGAAAGCCGGAGGAAGGUGGGGAUGACGUCAAAUCAUCAUGCCCCUUAUGUCCUGGGCUACACACGUGCUACAAUGGCUGGUACAAAGGGCAGCGAACCCGCGAGGGGGAGCCAAUCCCAAAAAGCCAGUCUCAGUUCGGAUCGCAGGCUGCAACUCGCCUGCGUGAAGCCGGAAUCGCUAGUAAUCGCGGAUCAGCAUGCCGCGGUGAAUAUGUUCCCGGGCCUUGUACACACCGCCCGUCACACCACGAGAGUUUGCAACACCCGAAGUCGGUGAGGCAACCUUUUAGGAGCCAGCCGCCGAAGGUGGGGCAGAUGAUUGGGGUGAAGUCGUAACAAGGUAACC
rnacentral:rRNA from 1 species